rnacentral:rRNA from 1 species
AACGCGAAGAACCUUACCUGGGCUUGACAUGCACGGAAAUCCGGCAGAGAUGUCGGGUCCGUAAGGGCCGUGCACAGGUGGUGCAUGGCUGUCGUCAGCUCGUGUCGUGAGAUGUUGGGUUAAGUCCCGCAACGAGCGCAACCCUCGUUCCAUGUUGCCAGCACGUAAUGGUGGGGACUCAUGGGAGACUGCCGGGGUCAACUCGGAGGAAGGUGGGGAUGACGUCAAGUCAUCAUGCCCCUUAUGUCCAGGGCUUCACGCAUGCUACAAUGGCCGGUACAAAGGGCUGCGAUACCGCAAGGUGGAGCGAAUCCCAAAAAGCCGGUCUCAGUUCGGAUCGGGGUCUGCAACUCGACCCCGUGAAGUCGGAGUCGCUAGUAAUCGCAGAUCAGCAACGCUGCGGUGAAUACGUUCCCGGGCCUUGUACACACCG